UUUGUUUGUCUCAAAAUUGAUGUUUUUGUUAAUUCUUGCGCGUCCCCUUGCAAUAGACUAGCGCUCCACAGUUUGGAAAACGCUGUCGUAUGCAAUACAACGGUUUAACUGAAACUAACCUAAUCAAAUUUAAAAUCCCCGUUUCUUCAAAAUGUGUGAAAAGAAAUGUAACAUUCAAAAUAAAAAUAGAAGCUGAAAGCAAUAUUGUUUUUGGUGCCAAACGAAUACGCAAUAAAAAGCCCAAAAUCUGGCAAUAUUGUUUGCAAAGUUAGUAAUUCGUAAUUUAAUAGAUUACCUAUUGUUGUAUAACGCUCUUCUUUGAAAUUAAGAGAUUGUUAUCAUGGAUCCACAACUAUUAACAGAUAGUCUUGAAUUCUUAUAGAUGUUAAGCUUUGUAUCGGUUAACCAGAUGGAUACGGUAGAAGCGUGUAUGCUUUCUCUCUAGAGGAUUCGGAUUCCCCACUUUCGAAAAAAUUUUUGGAGAGAUUCGGAUCCUUAUCAUUGAACCUAAUAAUCCACUUGAUCCCACCAGGAGUUUGGGCGGCCAAGAAACAUUUCAGUGUCACUAGCAGUAGGAAUUGGAAUGCCCGAUUCUUGAUACCUGCCAGGUUUUUUUUAUCAACAGAUAAUGACAUUUUCCACUCAGUUAGAGUACAAAGUGGCGAAGCAAAACAAACCCUUCCACAGGCUGCCCACCACAGAAGAGGACGGGGAUCAGCGGCCCGAGCUUGGUCCCAAUAAUAAAUAUUUCCAAGGGAUGGACCCGAGACUCGAACCAAGGUCCUCCAAGACCAAGAUGAAAAGCCGAAGCAUAAUAUCCGCCAGAUGGAAAGCGAAGUUAAACCACACAGGAAAAUAAAUUUGAAUCGAAAUAGUGAUUUUUUAUUAUAAUAACAUUUUAAAUGCUGCGUGUUGUGAUCAUGUUUUGCAGUUCAGAUAAUGAAAAUAAUAAUGAUUGCAAUACCAGCAAGACCCAGACACCACCGAAAAAGAAGAUUAAACAUCUGUAUCACUUUAAUGAUAAAUGAGCAGGCACGUACAACUGAAUAGUAAUAAAUCAUACAGUACAAUACGUACAAAAUAAUUUAUUGGCAUGGCGCAGAAGGGAUGUGAAAACAUAUGUAGACUGAAUGUUACAAACCCGGGAUUGUGAUGAGUCUAGUUAGGAUUUAUCCUGUUGUUGGUCUUAGAAGAAGCUAGUCAUCCUAGUAAAUAUUUAUAGAUAUAAAUUAAAUUUAUUAAAUCAAUCUAAAAAGUCUCAUCUCACCUUUUGAUAUUAGCUGCUAAGAAAUUUUUAAUUAACAAAUUAAGAAUAAAAAUGUGUAUAUAGGCUC
rnacentral:lncRNA from 1 species